ACGAACGCUGGCGGCGUGCCUAAUACAUGCAAGUCGAGCGGAAUGAUGAAGAAGCUUGCUUCUUCUGAUUUUAGCGGCGGACGGGUGAGUAACACGUGGGCAACCUACCUUGUAGAUUGGGAUAACUCCGGGAAACCGGGGCUAAUACCGAAUAAUCCAUUUUGCUUCAUGGCGAGAUGUUGAAAGACGGUUUCGGCUGUCACUACGAGAUGGGCCCGCGGCGCAUUAGCUAGUUGGUAGGGUAAUGGCCUACCAAGGCGACGAUGCGUAGCCGACCUGAGAGGGUGAUCGGCCACACUGGGACUGAGACACGGCCCAGACUCCUACGGGAGGCAGCAGUAGGGAAUCUUCCACAAUGGACGAAAGUCUGAUGGAGCAACGCCGCGUGAGUGAAGAAGGUUUUCGGAUCGUAAAACUCUGUUGUAAGGGAAGAACACGUACGAGAGUAACUGCUCGUACCUUGACGGUACCUUAUUAGAAAGCCACGGCUAGCUACGUG
rnacentral:rRNA from 1 species